AACGAACGCUGGCGGCAGGCUUAACACAUGCAAGUCGAGCGCCCCGCAAGGGGAGCGGCAGACGGGUGAGUAACGCGUGGGAAUCUACCCAUCUCUACGGAAUAACGCAUGGAAACGUGUGCUAAUACCGUAUACGUCCUUCGGGAGAAAGAUUUAUCGGAGAUGGAUGAGCCCGCGUUGGAUUAGCUAGUUGGUGGGGUAAAGGCCUACCAAGGCGACGAUCCAUAGCUGGUCUGAGAGGAUGAUCAGCCACACUGGGACUGAGACACGGGCCAGACUCCGACGGGAGGCAGCAGUGGGGAAUAUUGGACAAUGGGCGCAAGCUUGAUCCAGCCAUGCCGCGUGAGUGAUGAAGGCCCUAGGGUUGUAAAGCUCUUUCACCGGUGAAGAUAAUGACGGUAACCGGAGAAGAAGCCCCGGCUAACUUCGUGCCAGCCGCCGCCGUAAGAC
rnacentral:rRNA from 1 species